rnacentral:snoRNA from 1 species
GGCCUCCUGGUGCUUAUCACAGACUGUGUUCUUAGAGACUACAGAAAGAGGAGGCAAAGUAAACCUACCCCAUAUAAACCCCAAUUCUAUGCCUGGUCUAUAUUGUGAAUGAGGAGACAUGG